UACGUAGGGUGCGAGCGUUAAUCGGAAUUACUGGGCGUAAAGCGUGCGCAGGCGGUUUUGUAGGCCAGAUGUGAAAUCCCCGGGCUUAACCUGGGAAUGGCAUUUGGGACUGCAAGGCUUGAGUGCGGCAGAGGAGACUGGAAUUCCUGGUGUAGCGGUGAAAUGCGCAGAUAUCAGGAAGAACACCCGUGGCUAAGGCGGCUCUCUAGUACGGUACUGACGCUGAGACGCGAAAGCGUGGGGAGCGAACAGG
rnacentral:rRNA from 1 species